UUGUUUUUUUUGUUUUAGUUCUGUUUUCUGUUUUGUAUUUUCUUUUCUUUUACUUAUUUUCAUUUUCUGUUUUAUUUAUUUUAGAGUAUUUCAGCAUUUUCUAAAAAUGUGUUUUCUUCACUAUAAUUACCUGUGCAAUAUUUGGCACAAUCCGAACAUUUUUGUCCUAAUGUUUGAAAACUUUGGUUGUUUGACAAAAAUUCAAAUUUCAAUUCGAAUCGUUUUGAACUAACGUGAGAUUAGCGACAGUAACAGAGGUGACGUGGCAUCUUUAGCAGAGGUUUACUGUAGCUUAAUUAUCCGGGCGUCACAAUUCUCCUCCACUACAAGAAUUCUCGUCCCGAGAUUUAAGAGGCGGAGUAAAGGGGAAAGACUAGGUUACGAAAUUCUAACGAUUCUUCUUGGCCUUGGUUGCCCUUUCGAAGAGGUUGAUCCCUUUCGUUGAUGUCUUCAUUUCUCUGCUUCAAGUCACCAUGAUCAAGUCGUCAUCCUUUCUUCGGGAACUCCAUCGUACUUACGAAAGAAUAAAGGGUGGUUAUUCCGGAAGAACGGACCUCUGCAAGGUUGACUACCUGGUAGCUAACAUCGGGGGAAGGUGGCGGAAAGUAACUCUCGAAUGGAAAUUUAAGACAAUAUCGAGAGCAAAGUAAGGAGGUAUCGUGGGGAAGUUUCGAGCGGGCAGGCAAUCGUUCGAUGCUUGAAGGGUUCAGAGCAACGGGAAUAAGUAUUGUGUCUGAUACCAAAAUUGAUGAUCUCACGAAAGGUGGCAUGUGAAUCACAUACGAAGCCAAGCGUGAGGAAUAACCUUGGGAACAGGGGUGUACAAGAGAGUCAGGUUUCGAUCCUGUGGAACUGUGGGUUAUGGGCCCACCAUGUGGUUUUUUUUAUAGGAGCAGUGACAUCUUGCACGGUCAUGAUAGCAAGGCAUGUCAGAGAGUACCCUGCCAGUUAUGUCGGCAACACGUUGGUACCAAGGGCGAGGGACGAAGAGAACCAAUUUUCCUGCUCGUUGAAACGAGGCGGACCAAUAGGCAAAGUUCUCAUCCAUCGGUGGCUACCGAAAUGUCAUCAACGAAAGUAACAUGGUCUACUGAGAGAGUGGUACAACGAGGUGCUCAACUAAGCAGGGAAUUAUCUCUACUCAGCUAAGUCAGAUUACAAGAAAGGUUAAACAAAACAAUGGAAAGGAAAAUAUGAUUAUCAGAGUAAACAGAAAAAAGGAAAGGAAAAUGUGUUUAAACACAUAUUUCAAGGGUAUAUGCUUCCCAAGGACAAGCAGAGCAUGAUAUCCAUGAUAGGAUAUAAUGUAGAAAACCCUUUAGGUAAGAGGAGAGAAAUUUCAUGACAUUACCCAUACAACGGUGUUUGGAUAAUUGAGCAGGAAACAAUUAGCUUUGGGCUUCAAAUGUUCCUGUUGAAAAUCGGAGUACCAUAGACAUGCUUCGAGAUAGCAUUGACAUGAUCUUCAGGCAAAGGACAGACUCUAGAUACACAAAGGACUUAUUAGGAACAACUUAUAGAAUAAGUCUUACAAUUUCCUCGUGAAAGAAUGGAUAACCUUGCAAAAAAGGAAACUAUAACGAUAGGUCCGCCGCCCAGGUGUACCGGGCAUGACAUCACCUUACCGGGUCAUGUGAAGACCAAUGUUAUAACUCUUUGAAAUAUGUCCCUACCAUCAUAUCUGACCGAGAUCCAGAUCUGAUUGGUGUCUCGAUACCUCAGACUUAGGAUGCCUGAGAAGAAAAGGUGCGACACAAUUUGACGAGAUGACAUUGUAAGAUUCUCGGGAAAUGAACUAUGGAAGCGAGUUCUGAAACAAGAGUCCCUCAGUAAACCAAUGAGAGGAUGAGGAGGUGGCUGAUGGAAUCAGCGACAAUUCAUCGAGAUUAACAAAAGAUGGAUUUCCACAACUAUGUGAACAAGGAGAUAACAUUUGUCAGAUCAAAUGGUAUAAUGAUGUAUGCUCGAGGAAAACAUACACAAUUAAACAUUGGUUGAAAGGGGCACCCGAAAUAUGGGCUGGGUUGCACGACCAACGUCGGAAUGGAAAUUUAGCAACCAGCACACUACAUUGGAAUUAUUGUCCAUUAACUCUGAAGUAACAAGGUUGCUAGAGAUAUUAAAUUCUCAUAACAGAGUUCACUCAACACGGGGACCAAGAGAAGAAUGAUGAUGGUGAGAAGCAUCAUUGUAUCAAGAAUUUCUUAAGAGGUGGUGAAACUCUCACGACAUUCUUGACAUAAAAGAUGGUAAUACUCCAGUGUAAAGAAGAACAAUUGCUGGGUUGCAAGGAACUCAAGGUAUAACACAAAACAAGAACAAGUUUGUGUUGGAGGAAAGGUAGUAGAGUGGUCGAUGAUAAUACUAAUCAUCGAGGGCAAGGAUGGUCUUUCUCAUCAUGAAUUCCAUUGAUAUCCUGGAAGAGCUCAGAAUGUUGAUGAUGAUCACGACACAUUUGUCGAGAGAAUUCAUGAAGAUGUAAUCGAUUGGCGAUGACAUCAAGUCAAGGGAAUGAUGAAGCAAAAGGUUAUUGGAACCAGGGGUACGACACAAACUCGAAAUCAAGCUUGUUGUUCAAGGCUAAAUGAUAUGGCAAGGAAAAUCGACGUAAGCUUAGCUCAUCAUCGAAGUGGUGCUCCAAGAAUAAGGACCAGGUAGCACACAGUUGAAAAGUUGCACGAUAUUGAUAUAGUUGAUCAGGCUAAGAAUGACUUGAAGGAUUUUUAAACUCGUAAGCAACGAAAAUUACUUAGAGUUAUUGAAUCGGAGUGCGGAAUUGAUUCACAUAUCGGUGUUCUCGAGUGAAUUAACUCAGAACCCGGGGGAAAUCUGAAAUCAGUGAGAAGCAAUACUAGAUGAAGACUCAUUGGAAGCAACACAGUUCUUUGAUAUGCUCGAGAUAUUGGAGGGUAUUACUCGAAGGAAGAUCGACAUAGGGGUUGCGGAGAGGUAUUGAUCUGCAGAAGACAAGUGUUUUAACUUGUCUGAGAAAUAGUAUUUAAAGGAGAACAUGGUCGGAACCACGACUGCAAAGGGGCAAUUCACCGAUAUCAGAUGAUAUUAUAUCAAGGAAAUAGCUAUUAUUACAAGAAGCUUCCAUGAUAGGAUCUACAUCGUGUCCAUGGGCAUGAACACAAAGUUCAAGGUCGACUCCCACUUGUUCAACGCAUAACCUUUCAUUUACCUCUCGUAUUUCGAAAAUGACAUUAGUUGUUGAAAGUUUUUACCUGAUGCAAUACCAGAUAAGUAUGACCCAUGAAAUCUUUCGGGUUCACACGGAUUAGGGAAGGCGUAGGUUCAACCCAUCAAGGCAUCUUAGGAACAUAUACCACAAACUUCGGAGUAAAUAAUACAAGCUCGAAAGUAGAGCAUGGUUCACAAAGCAGAGGAUACAAUUUACCAAAGGCAUCAUGUAUCCGAGGAAAAGCUCACAAGCUUAUUUAAUAUGAAGGACAUUGUCAGAUAAAAUCCGACAAAAGGGUCUGGUGGUCCACAAGGGAUCUGAUGUGAGCAUCAGUACUCAACCAGAGGAAGAAAGAAUGCAAGGAGAUCAGAUUAUAGAAACAACUGACUAACUCAAAGCUCAAUGCAAAGGAAUUAUAAUUUCAAAUUCAAGGGAUCAGAAGCAAACGCUCUGAUUGAGGAUGGAUAAGUCGAGUAAACUUACAGGUACAAUCGAUGGCAAAUUUGAUUGGUCAAGAUCCAGCUCAUGUUUAAAAUGACGUCUGAGCCGGAAAGAUAAUUUCGAAGGGUCGAUCGAUGAUUGUGUGCAUUCGCACACAUGUUGAAUCAAUAGGAUCAAAAUGAUAGUGUCAAAAGAUACUAGUGAAUAUUGCUAGUGAUAUGGGAGCAUCCAUAAUGUAAGCAAGUAAGAAUUUCAAGAGCAAUAGGCUACUCAGGAUUUUCGGAAGUUCAAAUAGUAUUUUGAAGACUUUUGUGAAAUACAGGAAUCAACUGUGGAUGAGCGAAUACUCGAUAAGUGUGAGCAAUUAUCCGUAGGGGUAUUUAUGUGGUAAAGAACUGCAAGGCAGUAAGCUCAAAGGAUUCUCGGAACAACAGAGAGAAUUUCGGGGAAUCUUGUAAUAACCAGAUCAACUGGGAAACAUUGUAUGAAUGGCGAGUAUACGUGGUUAUCCAUAGGAGUUUAUCGAUGGAAGGGAAUUGCAAAAGCGAUGAACACAAGUUCUCGGGUUAACAGCGGAGAGUGUCUUCAGGGUCCUCACGUGCAGCAGACGAUCAUCAGUAAUAAGGGGCUCUCCGGGUGAAAGUGAUAACGAGAUCCUAAUGUUAGAAUUAGCAAAAUUCAUUUAACCCGAAUAGGAGAGAGAUCAGAUUCCCAGAGUAAAGGUCGAGGAGUAAAAGAUCCUAAUACCACCCAAUGGCGACGUGGGCCCGUAAGCUACACAGCCAUGUUAGUAAAACAGUUUUCACUGACUAGACUCAACUUUGGCCAAGGAGUUGGAAAGGGAGAUUCCUACAGGCAGUUGGCUCUGAUACCAACUUGUGACGCCCCCGAUUUGACCAUACACUAAUCAUGCACGCAAAUGUGUACGAUCAAGAUCAGGGACUCACGGGAAGAUAUCACAACACAACUCUACAACAUAAAAUAAGUCAUACAAGCAUCAUAAUACAAGCCAGGGGCCUCGAGGGCUCGAAUACAAGUGCUCGAUCAUAGACGAGGCAGCGGAAGCAACAAUAUCUGAGUACAUACAUAAGUUAAACAAGUUUGCCUUAAGAAGGCUAGCACAAAAGUAGCAACGAUCAAAAAGGCAAGGCCUCCUGCCUGGGACCUCCUAACUACUCCUCGAAGUCGAACUCCAUGCAGAAUCAUCCUCGGGAUCUCUAGCUCCUGGACUCCAGCACCUGGUUGCGACAACCAGGUAUAGAAAGGGGAAAAGAGGGAGAAAAGCAACCGUGAGUACUCAUCCAAAGUACUCGCAAGCAAGGAGCUACACUACAUAUGCAUGGGUAUAUGCGUAAAGGUCCAUAUCAGUGGACUCAACUGCAGAAUGCCAGAAUAAGAGGGGGAUAGCUAAUCCUGUCGAAGACUACGCUUCUGGCCACCUCCAUCUUGCAGCAUGUAGAAGAGAGUAGAUUCACCAAGUAGCAUCGCAUAGCAUAAUCCUACCCGGCGAUCCCCUCCUCGUCACCCUGUUAGAGAGCGAUCACCGGGUUAUAUCUGGCACUUGGAAGGGUGUGUUUUAUUAAGUAUCCAGUUCUAGUUGUCAUAAGGUCAAGGUACAACUCCGGGUUGUCCUUUUACCGAGGGACACGGCUAUUCAAAUAGAUAAACUUCCCUGCAGGGGUGCACCACAUAACCCAACACGCUCGAUCCCAUUUGGCCGGACACACUUUUGUGGGUCAUGCCCGGCCUCGGAAGAUCAACACGUCGCGGCUCCACCUAGGCUCAACAGAGAGGUCAGCACGCCGGUCUAAAUCCUAUGCGCACAGGGGUCUGGGCCCAUCGCCCAUUGCACACCUGCACGUUGCGAGGGCGGCCGGAAGCAGACCUAGCCUAGCAGGCGUUCCAGUCCAAUCCAGCGCGCGCCGCUCCGUCGCUGACGUCAAGAAGAGCUUCGGCUGAUACCACGACGUCGAGUGCCCAUAACUGUUCCCGCGUAGCUGGUUAGUGUGUAUAGACCAAAUGGCCAGACUCAGAUCAAAUACCAAUAUCUCGUUGAGCGUGUUAAGUAUCUACGAACGCCGACCAUGGCCAGGCCCACCUCUCUCCUAGGUGGUCUCAACCUGCCCUGUCGCUCCGCCACAAAGUAACAGUCGGGGCCGUCAGGAACCCAGGCCCACCUCUACCGGGGUGGAGCCACCUGUCCUUUCAGCCCCCUCAUCAGAAUCACUUGCGGGUACUCCUCGAGCCGACCCGACUUUAGUCACCACAUGUGUCAUGUAUAUAAUGUAUAUAGUAUAUACCCGUGAUCACCUUCCGAAGUGAUCACGGCCCAGUAGUAUAGCAUGGCAGACGGACAAGAGUGUAGGGCCACUGAUGGAACGCAGCCUGAUGAAGAACUCGCGGGGCUGGUCUCCAACAUGGCCUUACAUCGAAAAAGGCAUCAUUGGCGGGGGCGAAGCCGGCGCGCCGCCCCGUCCUCCUCUUCCCCGAGCACCACGACCUCUGUCCCGGCCUCUCCCACGGCCUCGGCCCCUCCCCCUUCCCCUCGCGGCCGGCUCCACCACCACGGGCUCAGGAGGAGGAGGGACGCGCUGUCGAGCGGCGACCCUCGCCGCCACCGUCGAGGGACCGGGAUUCCCUUUCUCCAUGGCGAGUGAAAGGAAGAAGCAGAAGCAGGAGGAGAUAGAUGACAGAAGAGUGUGGGGUGCCAUCCCCCUUCCCCCCCUCUUAUAAAGGGGUGGGGUGAGGGCUCGGCCGCCCCGCUCGACCAAUCCAGCCACCAGAGGCGCAGGGAAUCGAGGCCGACCCGCUGCCCCAAUCAGCGACGACCCGAUUUCCCGCCUCCACCGCUUGCCACCCCAAGCGCAUGGAGGACACGUGGCGAACGUGCAGAAUCGAGGGGACGGGUGGAGUGACCUCUCCCCACCCCGUGAUCGUGGGGUGUGGACGCCUUGAAGACCGCGACCCGGCCCCGCGCAGUAAAUGAGCCGCGCCUCCACGCCUCCCUCUUUUUACGGGGAAGGCACGGGCCGCCUCUUUACCACGAUAUGACGCAUGCAUGCGGAAACUGCCCCACGCAUGCCGCCCAUGUAACGCGCACCCCUCCACGCCGCGCAGCGCGCGAAAAGUUUUACCGCGGUGAAAACCGCCCCGCCUGCCCGCGCACCGUUUUGGGCCUGGCCCAACAACGUGUCGCGCUUAUGUGUGGCCCAGGCCCGGGGGCUCCUGUCGGUGUACAAAAGAAGGGGCGCACCUUUGUACCCCUUUACCUGUGCACAGGCAGUCGGAGCCGUGCCCACGGUCACACCAAGCAGAACAAGGGAGGUGAACCGAGGUAAAACCGAAGCCCAAGACGACCAGAGCAACGCCAAGACCAAGGACGCAAAGAAGCAGAGGGGUGGAGCAGUUUCCCCCGGCAAGACCCUUGCCGGGGACGGCCUCAGCAGCCCCGGCAAGACCCUUGCCGGGGCAGCCGCCCAAACACCAACAGAGCGAGCCACCCUUGAGCCCACGUCCCCAACACCAUCAACCACGUUGGGCCAGGGCUCGGGAGGCACCUCUGUGGUGGCAUGCAGAUCUUUGUGAACACAAGGAAUAUUCAAGAUCAGAUGAGGAUUAGGAGACUGCGAUCCUUGGCAAGAUCCUUGCCGAGGGGAACCACAAGACCCCCGGCAAGAUCCUUGCCGGGGACGACAGCGCGCCACGGCAAGGCCCUUGCCGGGCCACCCGGCAAGGCCUUCGCCAAGGGUGCCAGCAGGGCCACUGCCAGGCCCGCACCAACCAAGUUUCCACCGCCGUUCGCAUGCAGAGCCCAACCAGCUGAGCAGGCACCUGCGUGGCAACAUGCAGCUCCCAGGCCAACUCAUCAGGCGCCUGCAUGGCGGCAUGCAGAUCUUCGUAGAGGCUCCACCACCGCGCCACCUCAGCUGCCUGCCUGCCUACAUGGCGCCGCACGCAUUACUGGCCGGGGCGCGUGUCGAAGCGAGGAGGAGCGGCGACGAACGGGACGGACCUCGCCCCCGUCCCCGAUAAAGCUAGGGGACACCUCAGCGGCGCAUUAAAUGCGUCUUGUCCUGUAAUACGAGCGAUAAGCUCGCAAUACUGUACGCCUUUCCACCUCCUGUAUGCCACUGUGGCAGCCCCUUUCGACUAUAAAAGGAGGCCCAUGGCAUACUGAAGAAGGAUUCGGCUCUUUGGGACCACGCACCCCACCAUAGCUAGUUCGAGAGCUUAAGAACUCUUUGAAAUACAUCCACUAAAGCAGGACUAGAGUUUUACGCACCCUCACGGCCCGAACCUGGGUAAACGAUCCGUGUACUGAUUACUAAUCCUGUUCUUCUCGCAACCCUGCGCCCCGGCAACCGUAGUAGGGAUUUUUGUGAUCCCAUAGAUGUCGUUCCACACCGACUUUAAGUUCUUUGACAAGAAUGUAAACGAAACCAAAGGAAAAUAAACGAUUUACAAAGUUGCACACCGGAAUUUAUGUCAGUUCAUGUACAAGUGUGUCACUUUCUCUGAUUCUCUCCGUAAAAGAGAAUAUGCACAUGUCCAUCCUUGGUCGCACUUAUCACGCCUCUCUCUCCUCCCGCUUCUUCCUCCACACUCCCAUUUCAGCGGGGAGACGAGAAAACAGAGAGGGCGCGCGCGAAAAAGACUUCGCUGGCCCUCUAGGUGUCUCCAGAUCACGCCCAAAUUCGUGGCUCGUCCAGCCGCGAAUUUGGUGGUGCCCUACUUUUAUUGGUGCAUUUUCCUAGACUUGUUCUUUCUGUGAUUCCUCUUAAUCCCUCCCGUGUUCUUGCGGCUGAUUUCUUGACGGAUUGAAGCGUCAGCGGAUUUCUCCGGCUGCGUCUCCGGAUUUCCUCGAUCUGGGGGCAAUGCGGCUGCGCAUUCGGUUCUCUGCCUCGGAAGCCCCCCAAAUCCCCCGCCAUUGGUGAUUAUUUCUGAGCUUCCUCGCCUUAAAAUCGGCGCGUUUCUCGGAGCACCUCGAGGCAUCUGAUUUCAGAAGGUCAUCGCCGCGAUUUUACGCGAACUUGGGCGGGGCAUUGUUCUGAGUUCUUUUUUUUUGUCAAAACAUUUGUGCCGCGUCACUGGAUUUCGUCGGCCACUUGCUUCAGGGAGCUCACGGAUUUGUUGUCCGUCGCCACAAACCUCCCGCCGGUAAGCCGGGGGAAUCACAUUGCGAUGGUAGAGUCGGUGUAGGCAGGAGCAGGCAAAAGAUGAGGCGCUGCAGGGGAGAAUGGCUCCCCGCGCCGUGCAUCAUCUCCGUGCUGCUCUUCCUACCAAUGGCCUGCGGACGAUUGCUCAUUGGCCCAAGCGACACGUCGCCGCCACCUGCGCUGACACCAACCUUCAUCAAGCAAGUUGACGAUUGGGUGAGUAAAUUUUCUAUGUAUUUCAUCGCACUCGGUAGUAACAUCUGUACUGAGAUGGUGUCAUUCCAUAGUUUGUGAUCAAGACCAAAGUAGUUUAGUUUUGGUCAUCUUAAGAAGUGAGAAUUAACUUAUUAAGUACUCCCUCUGUAAACAAAUAUAAGAGCGUCCGAUAUUUCUUUACAGAGGGAGUAUCAAUCCUUUUGUUAGAGAAAAAACCGGUUCAGGAAGGCAGGAAUUGCCACCAUCGAGACCAUACAAUGACAGAAUUGCAAGGAUUGCCCGGCUAUAUUUCUGAUAUGGUGUUUAGGUUGGUGCCCUCGCUCUAUCAACACAUAUGGUCCACAUGUAUGAGCUCAUGAUGCCGGCAUUCAGAAUUGUCAUGUGGUGCUCUUCGAAUUACCUGUGACAGAAUAGAUAAGAUCACUGAAUUUCUAGUGGUUCCCAGAGGCCAAAGCUGUUUAUGAUUUUACUGCAUUGAAAAUACUGACUACAGAUUAAAACCCUGCAAGCAGAAGCAGAGAUUUUGAAACAAAUUAUUAACGUUCCCUCCUGUUAGGUACACAUUACUCCUUAUUUAAUGAGUAGCAUGUGUCGGAUUAACUAUGUUAUUAUUGGUAUGAUGCAUGUAGACUUAUUUUUUCCUUAAGUAAGGAAUGUGAUGAUAAUAUGAUAUUGUUCGCAAAUAUAAGAUGUUCUAACUUUUUUCCUAAUCGGAUGUAUAUAGACAUGUUUUAGUGUGUUUGUUCACUAAUUUCAGUCUGUAUGUAGUCCAUUUUGAAAUAUCCAAAAUAUCUUAUAUUUGUAAACAGAGGGAAUAGUCUCUAACUGCUGACUCUCACUGGUACUUCAUGGUAGUUUAUAUUUUUAAUGGUCUGGUUUAUCAUAUUAUUAUUCUGAAAAGGAUGCACACCCAGUUUAUCUCAUCAGCAUCUGUUAUUGAUUAAUUUUCACGUACUGACAAGGGUGACCACUCGUUAUGAUAUCUAUAGGUGGAACACGCGUGGCUCAAAUGUGGAUUGGACAAGAAAAGCCUUCAAGAUGUUAGAAACUACUACGACUACAACCAUGUACUUGAUAUCAUCCAUAGGAUAUCUGAUAAUAAGGGAACUUCCCCUGUCAUUGGAAAAGGUGCAGGCCCACUGACACCAGAUAUCAAGCAAACUUUGCUGACCUGCUUAAGCAAACAGAAUUUUGAGGUUCCAAAAAACCUACCCGAUGGUUAUAUCGAAACACUUAUCGCCUCAAUAAGAGAAGAGCUGACUCCGGGACCUGCUCCUGCAAAUGAAGCAGUAAAACCUCCGCCAGGGAAACCAGCUGACGGUUCUUCAUCAGAAGCAACUACAAAAAAGGCAGUGCCUGCAACUAAAUCAGUGGGGAAAAAAGACAGCGAUGGCAUGCCAACUACCACUAUCGUUGGUGUGUCCCUGGUUGUUAUCGCACUUUUAGCUCUUCUCUGCGUUGGCUGCUGCAUGUUCCGUGAAAGUUCUGCGGCUUCUGCCUAUGAUAAUAAGCAACUCCUGAAUCUAUGUAAUGUCUUGUAUCAUCCAUUUUGCUCCAAGUCAACGUUUUUCUUUCUUCUACCACUGACUUUUAUGCUUUCAUUUGCAGCGGAUUCUUGCAAGUCUUCCAGUGUAAAUCUAAUAGAUGUCACUAAGCUGGGAGCAUUGCCAUUGCAGUCAGAGGCUGGCCAAAAUGGCCAUGUGAAUCAAAGUUCACAGGAAGGCCCAAACACUGAUCAAGUUGGCUAUGUGAGACUAAGUUCACAGGAAGGCCCAAACACUGAUCAAAAUAACCAUGUGAAACUAAGCUCACAGGAAGACGCAAACACUGAUCAAAUUAGCUAUGUGAAACUAAGCUCACAGGAAGACCCAACCAGUGGUCGAAAUAGUGAUGUGAAGCUAACUUCGCAGGAAGACCCAAACACUGGCCAAAAUAACCAUGUGAAGCUCACUUCACAGGAAAGUGCAAACACUGAUCCAGCAAUCUACAGCAGUUCCGCCGAGCCAAUGGCUGCUUCUGUUGAUUCUGAGCAAGGAUCAACACCAAUGCCUCAACCAAUGAUGCCACCUCCAGCACAUCCUCAAGUACUUGCGCCUCAACCAAAGGCUCCUCCUUCACCACCAGCUCCUCAAGCACUUGAGCUGCCUCCGAAUGCUUCUCCAGUUCUUUCCUCUGGACCUUCACCGCCACCAGCUCCAAAAGCCUCCCCGCCUCCGCCCUCAGGACCCUCACCACCUACUGCUCCAAAAGCUGCACCACCACCACCACCACCAUCAAAAUCUGGUGGACCUCUCCCGCCACCACCAGCGCUGCCUGGUUCUUCCAAAACGCGCCCACCACCACUUAUGAAGUCAGGCAAUAAAACAGACACAGAUGAGGAUUCUAGUGAAGCUAAAACAAAGCUUAAGCCCUUCUUUUGGGAUAAAGUAGCAACAAAUGCUAAUAAAUCAAUGGUGUGGGAUCACCUUAAAGCUGGAUCAUUCCAGUAAGUUGGUAGAGAUAGCUGAGCUAUAUAUCUAGUUAUCUACUAUUGUAAGAUCGCACCAUUUUAUAACUAAUGGUACUUCUUCACAGGUUAAGUGAGGACGCUAUUGAAACACUUUUUGGUUGUAAUGCUGACAAGAAGAGUGGUGAUGCCAAAAAAGAUAUAGCAUCAAAGGAAGCUGCCCAAGUUGUGAGGAUACUUGAUCCUAAAAAGGCACAGAACCUGGCCAUAUCAUUGAAGGCGUUGAGUGUUUCAGCAGAGGAAGUUUCUUGUGCAGUUAAGGAAGGUAAAGUGUAUUGUCACUCGUUUAUACUGUGCAAGUGCAUAGCUCUUCCUGGAUGAAAUGCGGCUUCUUCUGAUUCUUGCCAGUCUUGUAGAUACAGUUAUUUUAUUAUAUUUUUGGGCAAAGCUCCAGUUUUUUUUUAAGUUGCAGUGGUACAUCGAAUACUUAUCCAGCUUCUGGUCUAUAACUCCAUGCAAUAAUAUAUCAGCUGCGUAUAUCAUUUGUGUCUUCACAAUCAGGAGUUACGGCUAUUCUUCUGUGCUAAGGACAAUGAAUCACUUGAUUUCAUUUGUUUCUUCUAUUUUUCAAAGCAAAUAGUACACAUUUCUGCUAAACUGAUGUGAGUCUUGUCUUCUAGGUUAACUCUAAUUCUUGAACUAAUAACAAAGUCAGCAAGAUUAUGUAGCACGCAAGUGAUGUCAAAUGCUCAAAUCGGCAUUUGGUUCUAGACUUAACCACAUUUGUGUACAUCUGGCCUCCAUAUUUUGGAAUGGACGCCUCAAGCAUGGGUUCAUGUGCUUCUGACUAUUCUAUUUGGACAUUUAGAACAAAGAACAUGUUGAUUAAAUCCUAUUUCCUGAUAACAUCUUUUGCCUUAUCAAUUUCCCUCGAUAAUUUGUAGGAAAUGAACUUCCAUCCGACUUGAUACAGACCUUAAUUAGAUGGGUCCCGAGUACUGAUGAGGAGCUCAGGCUUCGACUAUAUACUGGGGAACUCUCACAGCUUGGUCCUGCAGAGCAGUUCUUAAAAGCAAUCUUCGACAUUCCUUAUAUCUAUGAGCGCCUGGACGCAUUACUUUUCAUGGCUGGUUUACCAGAGGAAACUUCAAAUGUAAAGCAAUCUUUUGCCACCUUAGAGGUAAUAGCAUUACCAUUAUGACCUAUUUGGCUUCCACACUAUAUUCAGUUCUGUUGUAUGACUUGUAUCAGUCUUGUUUGAUGCUCUGUAGUCCUUUAACCGAUGAACAUUUUUAUCAAGUAAUAAUAGAGAUUAUCGUAGUGUAGAUGUUACCACUCUUCCUGCACCUUGAUGUUUCUACCGAUCUUCUUAUCUCUGCUAUCUUGGCAUUUAAAUCCUGAUCAGAUGGCUUGUGAGGAGCUUAAAAACAGCCGUCUAUUCUUGAAGUUACUAGAAGCUGUACUUAAAACAGGGAAUCGGAUGAAUGUUGGCACGUUCAGAGGAGGAGCUCAAGCGUUCAAACUAGACACCCUGCUCAAGCUUUCCGACGUCAAAGGAACUGAUGGGAAGAUAACGCUGCUGCAUUUUGUUGUUCAAGAGAUGAUCCAUUCUGAAGGUGUCCGUUCUGCACGGGCUGCAAAGGAGCAGACGGGCAGCGUAUCCAGUGUGGACAACAAUGAUCUUAUUGAAGAGGAAUAUAAACAACUAGGUCUGCAGGCUGUGUCCAGUUUAGGAGAUGAACUUCAAAAUGUCAGGAAUGCAGCAAUCCUUGAUGCAGAUCAGUUGGCUAUGUCGGUAGCAAGUGUCGUCCACAGGCUUGGCAAAACCAAAGAAUUCUUGAACACAAGCAUGAAAAGUCUGGAUGAAGAUAGUGGGUUUCACCGCAAGCUUGUGCAUUUCGUGGAGCAGUCUCAAACUGAUGUUACUUUCUUGCUAGAGGAAGAGAAGAAAAUACGGUCCUUGGUAAAGAGCACUGUCGAUUAUUUCCAUGGGAGGACAGGGAAGGAUGAGGGCCUUCGGUUAUUUGUCGUAGUGCGGGAUUUUCUCGCAAUGCUUGACAAGGUCUGCAAUGAGGUGAAAGAAGCAUCAAAAGUAACUCCAAAGAAAACGAAGACUGAAGUUACUCUGCCUUCCCACACACCCAGGUCUUUUCAAGAUCCCCGGCGUAGUUCCCACACACCCAGGUCUUCUCAAGAUCCCCGGCAUAACCUUUUUCCGGCAAUUCAAAACCGGAGGGCAGAUAGUUCAAGCUCUAGUUCUGAGGAGGGAAGUUAACUCUAAACGAAGGUACUCUGCCUACCUUUUCCUUCCAGCGCUUGGAGGUUUGCCCUUUGAAAACAUUAGUAAGAAGAGAUGGAAAACCGGAGCUAAAGAAAAAGCAAGAGAUGGAAAUUGACGAUAAAGCGAACUCUGGCUUUGGUCACUUGUUGCAGCAACAGAAUAAAAUUGCUGAAGGAAGGCAUUCAUCUUCCAUAACGUCCUUGACAGGCAAUUGUUGCACUUUGGCUCCUAUCAAACAAGCAAAGGUGAUAUUCACGAUCAAGAUGGAGAAGUCGCAACGGAAGCCGUCGAAAGGGGCGGCGAAGAAAACUGACCCCUUAGUUAGGGCGGGCGUGCAGAACAGGGAGGGAGGAAGAAGCAGCAGGCUGGCUGACUGACUGUGACACUGCCUGCUGUUUUUUCGCUUAGGAUUUGUACCAUCACAGAAAGGAGAGGAAUAAAUAUAGUAUUCUUUUAGGGGAAUAAAUGCAGCAUUAGAAAGAAAGAGAUGCACCACACAGGCUCAUAAACAUGAUAAUACCUUUGCAAAGAGCAAAGCUGUAAAUUGUCAUCCUUUCAACUGAAACAUCCUGUGUGUUCGCGUCAUGUGAUUAUAUACUCUGGGCGACUUGGUGUGCCUUUUGCAAUGUGGCGUGAGACCUAGUACCAGAUUCGUGCUGCUGUGCUGUGGUCGAUCUGUACCUACCGUUUCUGCACCGUCUGGAUAGUCAGGGCACUCAAAACAAUGUGCAGCGCUGCUAUAUUAGGAGUGAUAAUUGUUUCGUCUCCCGUGCCAUUUCUUUACAGAAUCCUUUUUUAUCCCAGGUAUUACUAGAUCGCAAGUAUUUCCCGCCAAAUGUCUUGCUCGUGAAAAACAUCGCCACACAUAGUCCACUACUCCCCGCCAAAAUUCCAUUAUCCCUGACUCGAGCCGUAGCACACCUACGUAUUGUAAAGACGAGAGCAUCCUUAGUCUAACAGCUUCGCAGAUUAAUUUUAGUAAGGAUUUCGCAGUUAUAUCGAGUUCUCUAACCAUGAAAGAAUUGGGCAAGAAUAGACGAUGGAAAUUUUCGACCAAGAACAGAGUGGUAGAAAUUGGCAAGUAAGCAAUCCAUAGGUGCAACUUUUAUAUAACGUACUAACAACGAAUUACAAAGGAUGCAACCAUUGUCCACGGCUAGUUUAGCACCGGUACAAGCACACAGAUUCAGAAACUAAUAGCAGUACUACCAUCCUAGAAGUAAAACGCAACACCUAGGCAACAUUUAACUGAACACGCUACUACACAGAACUGGAUACAGCCGAGCACCCACGACCACCGAGGAGGAGUCGUCAUCUAG
rnacentral:lncRNA from 1 species